rnacentral:misc_RNA from 1 species
GAGGGUGUUGUCGGAGUUACGGCCACGGACACCCUCGGGUCCAGGGAUGUGGUGGAUGGGCAGCUCCCUAUCCUCGAAGCUGAGAAUGAUUUCAGCCAUCUCGUUCAUGCUUACCAUUUCAUCGCUUCCAAUGUUCACUGGCUCACGGAAGUCCGACUUUGUCAACCUCAGAACACCCUCAACACACUCAUCUAUGAAUGUGAAGGACCGGGUCUGGA